UUUAGUGGAUGAUUUACUGAUUUUUCCUGGAUUGACUGCCAAAACAUUAGAUAAAAUCAGCUUAAAAACAAAUUCGUAGUCUUAUAUCGUUUGUCCUUUAAAAUUUUAUUUUAAGACUGAAUGAAAUUUAAAUAAAAAGAGGUAACAACUAUCAACUGACAUCUACAAGGAAAAACAGCGAUAACAGGCGGACCAGAAUCUUUUAUGCCGCAUUGACUUCUCGGAUCACCUCGUAAAAGUGGGAUGGACCCUCAUUCUGUCAUGUAUGUCUGGUGAUCAAUGGAUACAAGAAAUUACUUAAAUAAAAUAUCCUAAAUUGGCUGCCAGAACAUUUCAUCAAAAAAUUGAUUGCAAUGAAAUUUCCAAAAAGGAGGUAUCAACUAUCAACUGACAUCUACAAGGAAAAACAGCGAUAACAGGCGGACCAGAAUCUUUUAUGCCACAUUGACUUCUCGGAUCAUCCCGCAAAAGUGGGAUGGACCCUCAUUCUGUCAUGUAUGUCUGGGUUGAAUGGAUGUAUUUAGAAAUUCCAUAAAUAUUCUCGAUUGGCUGUCAUCAAAAAGCGUAUAAACGAAUCUUAGUCGUAAAUAAAUCGUCCUUUCAAAUUUUAUUUAAAGAUUGACUGCCUUGAAAUUUCAAGAACGCUGAUGCCACCCGAAGUCAACUGAGUAAGACGAGCUAUAACAAGCGGACGAGGACCAUUUGUGCACAUGAACUUGUCGGAUCACCCAGAAAAAUUUAGAGAAAAUUUUGUUUUAUUUUUACAUAUUUGUCCCUAAUUACCGAGCUAUUUUCAGCGAUGUCGUCCAGAGAGAAUAAGCGGACCAGGGCUGUUCAAGAACUCCAAUAUGUCAUAAACCAAGGAAAAAUCAAGAGAUUUCCUCGUGUGGUGUGGAGGUGAUGAACCUGUAAUUUGAUCGUUGCCUAUAAUUUCGGUCUGUAUAAAUACACUGAGGAUGCAACCCAGCGAGCGAUGGCAGAAGAAAACGGUCGGUAAUGAUCAAAUUAUGAGGACAAUUUGUGUGUUUCCUGAUCGUACUGUGUAAAUUGAAUAUUAUUAAUUUCAAAGCAUAAAUAAAAGAAUAUAAUAAGUAACAACGAAGAACAAAUUAGGAACAGAGUAGCCGACGCCUAUAAAAAACUGAGAAUAGGCGGACGUGGAUAAUUUAUGUACAGACAAAUUUAUUACAAUAGUAUAAAAAAAACAUGAUUUCAAAUUUCAAAAAUAUAUUUUGCAUUUUUUCAGCAGAACAAAUG